AGGUUCACACAGAAUGUGAGUUUUUAACCUCUCAAGAUACCUCUUAAAAUAUGUCAAGGUUAGCCAUCUUCAAACUUGUCCAAUGUCUGUGUCCCAAGAAUGGCAGUGGCAGUAAUAGAACUGGAUUUGUGCUGUACACAGACGGACGGACGAACAGACAGACGGAUGGACGCCAGGUUUUUACAAUACCCGAUGGCCAUAUGUUUGGCCUCGGGUAAUAAUUAUGUGGCACCAAGUAAUUUUUUGCCCCCUUCUGCCCAAUUGAUGUCACACCUACCUCAUUAUUCAAAAUGGUGAUCCACACAAUUGGCCCAUGUGUACUAUCAAUAACACUGGUCAACAAAACAUUAAUUUUUUUCUUGCAUGGACUUUGAGAACUGAUUUAGGGUAAUUUUGGGGUGCUGAAUCCAAAUCUGACCUCAUAUUUAAUCUAUUAUAUCACUUUUUUUACAAUCUGCAUAUUUCGUAUUGAUAGAUUCCGCAAAAGUUGCAAAUUCGCUCACGAGUUUGACGCCACUAAUCAUGCACAAAAGCAGCUACUAAAGCAUAGUUUUUAAAUCAGGUUUGCAUAUAUAUAUAUAUAUAUAGAAUGUACUUCACUUCAUGUGUGAUCUGUGGACACUGUUGAAACGUUUAAAGAGAAGCUCAAGACCCACUUGUACGGGCUUUUCUUUUAAUUUGUUUAAUGUUACUGCUGUAAUUUCUGUAUUUCUAUUUUUAUUUUAUUGUUGUUGUAAAGUACUUUGUGAUUUUAUCUUCAAACGUACUAUAUAAAAUAAACUUUAUUUACUUCCUUUUUAAAGCUACUACAUAAAGAAUGUUUCUUUCUUUAACUUAAAAAAAAAUUUGUUACCACUUAAAAAACUUAAUAGCAUCUGUUUGUUUUGCACCCGUUUGUUUGUUUGUUUGUUUUGUUUUGUUUACAGUUAAACUUAUCAGGUUUCACAGUGUACCAUAAUGUUUGAACACUGAGUCAGUGUUCUGAACUGGGAUGAAUGACUUAUAGGCGCUACCUUCUGUAAUGUGUACAUUAUUUAAUGCACACUGAAGGAUGGUGAAAUUUCCACAAUAUGUGAUAUCGUCUGAUGCAGUGUGGGCUGUCGGCUCCAGUGGCCCAUGUGCAUAUUUUCUCAUAAAACCCAUCAUGUAUGUUUAAACUUAACCAAAUUUUAAUGGAAUGCCAGAAACACUCUACAAUUAAAGUAGGCAUACAUUGAAAAAAAUAAUUUUAAUGUGAAUAAACAUGAACACAUGAAUAAAUUAUUUGUAGGUACAGGGCAACUCCAGGAUUUUUUUUCAAUCUGGGUCUUAUUUUUGGAGGUUUUAGGGUUCAAUUAUUUGCUCUUGACGAAAAUGAUUUUGAUCAGUCAAGUACUGAGUUACAACGCCGACUCCAUCACAAUUCAAACAGCUAUACAAGCUGUAACCCUCAAAAUAAACUGCUUCUUGUCACCACAGAAUAGAUGAAAAUAUCAUUAGAAGUGUUGAGUAUCAUGGAUAAGAUUCCUAAAGAUGUACAUGUGUACCUUGUAUUUAAGACAUUUUUAAACGACUGAUUAUACACUUGGUGUCCUACAUUAGCCUGUUGCUUUGGCAACACGGUUUGACACUAAGUUACAAGUCAUCUAUUGACUUCUGCUUGUGUGUUUGGGCCGUACCAUUCCAUUGUCGAGUUAUUUAGCCCAUGCCCGUGUGAGUUUUCUAACUCAGUACUGGACCAUGACAGUGAAAACCAAAACUGCAGUUUCUAGAUAUACACAGCUUUAUUUCAGGCAAUGUGAUUAUGAGCAACAAUUUGAUGAUGGACAAGAUGAAGGGCAGCCAAUUUUUUAAAUAAACUUUCUAUGCAGUUCAAUUUUUUUUUAAAGAGCCAAAUUUACAAUUUGUACAGUGAUUGAGGAAUGAGCUAUUUACUGUGAAGAUAAAGUAUUUCUACAUGUCAAAUCUUUUCCUGUCAGCUUUACAGUGUCAUAAAUGUGACUAUAAUAUUUAUUAUUAUGUUGAGUUGUUAAAAUAGGUCCAAUGAAACAAGCGUAUAUGUGUGCCUUGGCAAAUGUUAAAUGGGUUUUGUGUGUGUGUGUGUGUGUGUGUGUGUGUGUGUGUGUGUGUGUGUGUGUGUGUGUGUGUGUGUGUGUGUGUGUGUGUGUGUGUGUGUGUGUGUGUGUGUGUGUGUGUGUGUGUGUGUGUGUGUGUGUGUGUUUAACUUGGAAAUGUUCCAUGUAAAAUAUUUAAAGCUUUAUGCAGUGACAUUAAAUAAAUGCAGAUGCAAGGUUU